GGCUCGGUGGCAGAGUGGUAAUGCGUCCGCUGCUUUUAGAGAUAUAUAUACGAAGAUUGCUUCUGCGGAGAUUGCCUGUUCGAACCAGGCCCGAGCCA